AGGUGGAAGGCUUUUAUGAUAUAAAAGAGAACAACAAGAGGGUUUUCAUCUUUUUUAGUUGCAGUGAUUCUGCUAUAUGAAUCUGAAACUGGUUAUGUGAUGAGGUGAGGAUAAUUGGAUGAACAUUGUUUCAGAUCCACCCGACUCAUCCCAAGUUUUUGCAAGGUCUGCCUCUUACCAAAAUUUUCUUGUUUCAUAUGAAGGUGAGUGUAAUCUUGCGAGCAAUUGCAUAUGCUAUUUUCUUGUUUCAGAUCAUAUGUUGAUACUUAAUUUUACUCAAUCUUUCGUAUUAACCAUAAGGGUAAGGAUAUCAUGUUCUGAAGCAUUGCUAGGGCCCAUGCUUUAGAUGAGAUUAAUUCCUUGAUUUUGCUGUUUCUCAAUUAUUCAUUCUAGAAUUUGGCCCUUACUUGAGUGUCCCAGGUUGCUUCUUUUUUCUGUUGGUCGAGAUUUGUUCCUUUUCUUUCUAGAUGCUACAUUAAGUUUUAUUUCCUACACACUAUCAUGGCCCUUGGUUGAUUGUUUGUCUUGAUAUCCCAGAUUUGGCUGAACGUUGUAUUUUGCUCUGCCUCAUGCUGCUUAUAUUUUAUGCUUGCGUGUAAAUAGGUUGGCGGCUUAAUUGACCCAAGUUAAUUAUUGGAAUGCUUUUUUGUAGUCCACAGCACUACCUAUUCUUUUGGCUGCAAUGUUCUCAAUUUCUUUUGAAAACUGUUCAUCUAAUACCAUUACAAUUUAGGUUCCAUACUGCUCUGAGAGUAGUUGCAGUACAAUUGAGCCCCACACGUCUCAUACCAAUAUAGUUUGGGUUCCAUACUUGUCUGAGAGUACUUACAUGUCUCCUUUUCUAUUUAUUUUAUUAGUGUGGUUAGUGUAUAAACAUUUCCUUGGUUGUGAAAUCAGUGAACUACAUUUAACUGCUGCAGAGCCAGGCUCAAAUGUUUUUUUGAGCAUAAACUGUUCUUUAAUUGUGUUGGAUUUCCUUCCAUACUAUUUUUCGUGUUGAGUCACUAUCACUGUCGCCUACCACUGUGUCAUCAUAUCUCCUUUCAGUAUAUAUUGUGUAUGUCUGUCCGAAAAGAAUGGUUGCCUUGACCAUGAAAUUGGCAAAUGAUAAAUGAGCCCAUCAUUUUUUUUGAUAUGCCAGCCUAACCAAAAUGGUAUGAUGAUAACAACUAAUCAAUCAUACAAGGAGUUGGUGGGCCAUUGCUUAGUCACAACUUGGUCUUGUGACAGCAGCAAUGGCCUUGUGAGGUUUGUCACAACUUGGUCUCCCGUUUUUAAUGUUUGCAUUCCUUUUGUUGCAAGGUGACUGUAGGAUGCUCGCUUGACCCCCUGUCCACAAUGAAAACCGGAGGAACCUUCACUUUUGUAUAGAUGGUGAUGGAUAUGGGGACAUAUAAGAACACCUCCCUUCCGAAAAUCAACUAGGGCAGAUAAGAAAACCCGCCUGAGAAUCUAUUGUAUACCAUAUUUUUUAGCCUCUUAACAUGUCCAUGUACAUACUGUAGUCUAUAUUUCGAUAUGGAAUAUGUUGUUACAUGCAACUGUUUGAAUUGGUGGGCCAUUGCUGCUGCCGGCUAAAAUUAUAAUAUUUGUAACUAAUAUUUUUGGUUGA